CUUACACAUGCAAGUCGAACGGUAACAGGUCUUCGGAUGCUGACGAGUGGCGAACGGGUGAGUAAUACAUCGGAACGUGCCCGAGAGUGGGGGAUAACGAAGCGAAAGCUUUGCUAAUACCGCAUACGAUCUCAGGAUGAAAGCAGGGGACCGCAAGGCCUUGCGCUCACGGAGCGGCCGAUGGCAGAUUAGGUAGUUGGUGGGAUAAAAGCUUACCAAGCCGACGAUCUGUAGCUGGUCUGAGAGGACGACCAGCCACACUGGGACUGAGACACGGCCCAGACUCCUACGGGAGGCAGCAGUGGGGAAUUUUGGACAAUGGGCGCAAGCCUGAUCCAGCCAUGCCGCGUGCAGGAUGAAGGCCUUCGGGUUGUAAACUGCUUUUGUACGGAACGAAAAGACUCUGGUUAAUACCUGGGGUCCAUGACGGUACCGUAAGAAUAAGCACCGGCUAACUACGUGCCAGCAGCCGCGGUAAUACGUAGGGUGCGAGCGUUAAUCGGAAUUACUGGGCGUAAAGCGUGCGCAGGCGGUUAUGUAAGACAGAUGUGAAAUCCCCGGGCUCAACCUGGGAACUGCAUUUGUGACUGCAUAGCUAGAGUACGGCAGAGGGGGAUGGAAUUCCGCGUGUAGCAGUGAAAUGCGUAGAUAUGCGGAGGAACACCGAUGGCGAAGGC
rnacentral:rRNA from 1 species